ACCCGGACGGAGGAGGGCGGGGGAAGAUGCUCCGGGCGCCGUUCCGCCCGGCGCGUCGGGGAGCGGCUCGCGAGGCCUGCGCCGCGGGCGGGGGACGCAAGCUCCUGCUUUCUCUCCUCACCCAGCCACGGGCAUUGAAAAGGAGCGUCCGUGAAGCCCCCGCGGUAUCCGGUUUUGUCCUGUAAAUGCCCCUCCACCAUCAGACUGACUUCUUGGAGGCAGAAAUGUGUCGGAGAGCUUGUGUUCCCAGGGAGGCUUGCUCGCUUGGGGUAGGCUCUCCAGGGACGUUAGUUGACAAGAAUUGUUGGAUCCCGGAUUGGGGAUGUAAGAAAGUUGUGAUUCCUGCUGGGGCUUAGCGUGGUCUUUUAAAAACGGGAGAUUUUGUUCUGCCCUAUGGGGGCCCAGGCCCCGUCCCAAACUUGAGAUAGGGUGGAAGAAAUCCAGUGACUGGGAGGCCAGAGAUCUCAGUGUUAUUCCUGGCGCUGUGACUGUCUCUCACAAGGACAUGACACUUCCUCAGUGUCCUCCUCCACUGAACAGUGAAAAGUUGAGGACAGAAUCCUCCAGUUGUCUUGCAAACCUACUUGUAUGAGUAGCCUUCAGAGUGAUCAUCACUGCUAACCACAAGGGCAUCCGUGUCAUCACGAUCAAAUGGGAAGCUCCACUCCCAGUGUGGAGCCCAACGUAGGGCUUGAACUCACCACCCUGAGACCAAGACCUGAGCUGAGAUCAAGAAUUGGAUGCUUAAUGGACUGAGCUACCAGGCACCCCAGAAAUCUGAUACGUAUUAAACACAUUGAAUCACUACACCAAGGCUAUGAGGGAACGAAGGUUGAAAAUGGAGAUAAAGUGCCUUGUCCAAGGUCUCCCAGCUGGCAAAUUGGAAAGCCAGAUCCAAACCCAUGUGCUAUGGUUCCAGAGCCUGUGCCUUUAAAUAAAACUAGAUGCCUUCAAGCAAAUGCAGAUUUGUUUUAAAGUAGAAAGCAAAAGUUGAUGACUAUUUCAGCUAAAAUUUUAGGUUUUCAGCUUUUUAUGAACUGCUUCUUUUCUUAAAGGUGGGCUGGUGUGGGGAUAUG